rnacentral:lncRNA from 1 species
CUCCUUACCUCUAACAUCAAAAUAAAAUCUGUUUAUAUAAGUGAGAGUCGCUCCAACAUCGCUUCGAAAAUUUUAAAGCUUUAAAACGAACAUACGUUCGUGUGAUAUUAUUGAAAUAAUCUGGAAUUCGAUAUCGAGGGAGCUGGCAAGCUUCAAUUAUUCAUUGUUGGUGCAACUUGCGCGAUCCAUCCGGCAGCAUCCGAAAAGCUGCGUGACAAGA